GACAGAGGAUGCAAGCGUUAUCCGGAAUGAUUGGGCGUAAAGCGUCUGUAGGUGGCUUUUUAAGUCUGCCGUCAAAUCCCAGGGCUUAACCCUGGACAGGCGGUGGAAACUACCAAGCUGGAGUACGGUAGGGGCAGAGGGAAUUUCCGGUGUAGCGGUGAAAUGCGUAGAUAUCGGAAGGAACACCAGUGGCGAAAGCGGCUUCCUGGUCCAGCACCGACGUUCAGGCACGAAAGCGUGGGGAGCAAACAGG
rnacentral:rRNA from 1 species